UACAAGAAAGUAUAGUAGUAUCUCGUGUUAAGAUUUUAAUCUUGAACGGCACAAGACUAUCUUUGUGGGAAAGCAAGUACUCCAACGCAGAUGCCUAAUGUGGAGGGAUAAACUGUCCAAACAGAUCUGGAGGUGUGAAGAAGCUAAGAGGUCAUUGGAUCCCCGGAACUGGUGUGACAGAUGCUGGAGGUAAACACUGGUCUUCUGAAAGAGGUCUCUUCACUGCCGUGUCAUCUCCAGCCCUGCUGAGCAGGAUCUUGAACUCUCAGUCCUCCUGCCUCCAGCUCCUGGGAUUGAUUAGCGGCAGGCAUGAUCUCACUACUAAGCCUGA
rnacentral:lncRNA from 1 species